rnacentral:rRNA from 1 species
UACGUAGGGUGCGAGCGCUGUCCGGAAUUAUUGGGCGUAAAGAGCUCGUAGGCGGUUUGUCGCGUCUGCUGUGAAAUCCGGAGGCUCAACCUCCGGCCUGCAGUGGGUACGGGCAGACUAGAGUGCGGUAGGGGAGAUUGGAAUUCCUGGUGUAGCGGUGGAAUGCGCAGAUAUCAGGAGGAACACCGAUGGCGAAGGCAGAUCUCUGGGCCGUAACUGACGCUGAGGAGCGAAAGCAUGGGGAGCGAACAGG